AUUGAACGCAGGCGGAAUGCUUUACACAUGCAAGUCGAACGGCAGCACGGACUUCGGUCUGGUGGCGAGUGGCGAACGGGUGAGUAAUGUAUCGGAACGUGCCCAGUCGUGGGGGAUAACGUAGUGAAAAUUACGCUAAUACCGCAUACGAUCUAUGGAUGAAAGCGGGGGAUCGCAAGACCUCGCGCGAUUGGAGCGGCCGAUAUCAGAUUAGGUAGUUGGUGGGGUAAAGGCCCACCAAGCCAACGAUCUGUAGCUGGUCUGAGAGGACGACCAGCCACACUUGAGCUGAGACACGGUCCAGACUCCUACGGGAGGCAGCAGUGGGGAAUUUUGGACAAUGGGCGAAAGCCUGAUCCAGCCAUUCCGCGUGCAGGAUGAAGGCCCUCGGGUUGUAAACUGCUUUUGUACAGAACGAAAAGGUUUCUACUAAUACUAGGAGCUCAUGACGGUACUGUAAGAAUAAGCACCGGCUAAUUACGUGCCAGCCGCCGCAGUAA
rnacentral:rRNA from 1 species